GCGGGUAUAUUUUAAUGGUAGAAAGCGGGCUUCCCAAGCCUGUAGUGAGGGUUCGAUUCCCUUUGCCCGCU
rnacentral:tRNA from 1 species